rnacentral:lncRNA from 1 species
AACAAUUCAGUUUACUUACUACCUUAAUUUGCAAGCUUUGACUUCGACUAGCCAUUUCUUCCUCUAUUUAGAUCUGAUUUUAUCAAAUCUUAUACAAUAAUUGAAGUUCUUCAAGUCAGCUUUUCAAUUCUACCUUUCGAUUGUUAAAUGCCUUACUACAACUCCUUGUAUACUUGAAAGAGUGAUAAUAGGUACAAAUUUCACAUCUAGACUUUAAACACCCAUAACUCUCUCAUUUCAAACUCAAAGUUAACAACCCUUAUACAAAAAUUGUAUUCCUUCAAACUAGAUUUUCAACGACACUUUUUGUUUUCCAGAAAACCUUCUACAACUUUCUAUAUGCUUAAAAGAGUGACAGUCGGUAAACAAUUCACACCCCAACUUCAAACAACCUUAACUUCUUCAUACAAAACUCAAAUAACAAAAUUUA